GACUCUCGGCAACGGAUAUCUCGGCUCUCGCAUCGAUGAAGAACGUAGCGAAAUGCGAUACUUGGUGUGAAUUGCAGAAUCCCGUGAACCAUCGAGUCUUUGAACGCAAGUUGCGCCCGAAGCCAUCCGGCCGAGGGCACGCCUGCCUGGGCGUCACAC
rnacentral:rRNA from 1 species